GGGGGUAUAGCUCACACAGUGGUAGUGCAUUCGACUGCAGAUCGAGAGGUCCCCGGUUCAAACCCGGGUGCCCCCU
rnacentral:tRNA from 1 species